AUGUAGGGCACUCUAAGUAGGGAUAAAUUACUCUAAAACAAGAAAAAAAGAAUCCUUGAUAGUUUUCCCUUCAAGUCAAAAGUCUCGU
rnacentral:pre_miRNA from 1 species